rnacentral:tRNA from 1 species
AAUGAACUGGAUUCGCAAAAGCGAAUCCAUUUCCUAACCAGUUGGAAGCUGAAAAUGUCGACCGAGACCAAAUAGAGAACAGCCAGCUAUUCUGAUUAUUAGCUGGGCAUAGAAUCCGGGCUUGUAGCUCAGCUGGUAGAGCGCCGCCUUUGCAAGGCGGAGGCCCUGGGUUCGAAUCCCAGCAAGUCCAAUUACAAUGCACACAUUGAGGCAGACUCGAUGUGGAAGGGCGAAGGUCCGUUCUUGACGGAGCGGUCCGAUGAUGCCGUGCACAAGCUUUGCGACCAGACGCUCACUGAGUUUAGUGGGGCAUA